AACAUUGGAAUAUAAACUGACCACAGCGUUACCGAUUGACAGGCACACGAGAGAGACCACACUACAACGCCUGUAACAACUUUGUCUUUGCUUAAUAGAUAUCUGUUUCUUUCAUACAGAAGAAACACCUGCAGCCUAUCAUCUAUUCCCCCCAAAUUUACCGAGAUGGACGUUUUAAAGUUUGUGGUUUUGAUAGUUGCAGUUUUUGCGCAGGUUUACUGUGCCCUGGGAACCCCAACCAGCGACGAUGGAGAUAUUUGGUCGAUUGAAAACUGGCAGAGGGAUCCGUUGGAGAGUGGCUUGGCCUUCCGCGUGGCUGACCUCACCAAGAGGUCCGAAUUGCAGCAGUUUCAACAACUCGUGGGGCAAAGCUCAGGGAAUAAAGCAGACAUGUUUAUUGGACUCAUGGGUCGAAGGUCCUCAAGUCGAGAGUCACAAGAGGAAUAGAACAAGCCCCAGUAUUACUAGAGAUGAAGAACUUGAUUGUUCAAAGUUACUGUAAUAAUCAAUGUUGCUCAAAUUAUUAAACUAGGUCAAAGCAAUCCAAUACAUGCAACAAAGCUUAAUUGAUGUAACAUAAGUAAGGAAUGUGUAAUGAGGGUCAAUAAUGAUUUGACCCAUGUGUUUAAAAACUGGGUUGGGGAUUUGCUGCAACUAAUUGACAUUGUAUGCCUUCCUUAACUGUAUCAUUCUGUACUCUCCUUUGCAAUACAAGCUGCUUGUCAUGUUCAAUCAAGUAUUUUGUUGUUGUUGCAUAAUAUUAGAUGGCUUGUUAUGCAAACAAACAGGUAUAUUUGUCUAACUUAAGAUAAUUCAUGUGUCAUCACUGAGAGCAUUACUGAACUUCAAGAUUCAUUAGUGGAAAAACAAUUUGCUUUUCUGUGCUUCAUAUGAAAUGCUGAUAAUUAGUCAGUCAACCCCUACACAUGCUGCCCCAGAAAGAACACCUUGCACACAGGAUCAAGACAUUUUGGAGUUCAGAUUUAUUGGAGAGGAAGCAAGUACAAAAGCAGGUGCACACAACUUAUCUACAUAUUAAUGCUGUACAGAGGUACUGCUGUGUAGCUACAGUGGUCUACUGCUCUUUUGAUAGCUUAUUGAAGAACAACUGCUUGUAUGAAGGUGAACAUUAUGACCACGCACACUGGUUUCAGGUAAACCGAGCUGUUCUGGAGUUGCUUUCUAUAGCUGCCAUGACAGGCACAGGAGGAAGCAUCAAGACAACACAGACCACAGCAACAUGUUGGGAGGCAAAAUAUCAAAGGCAGAGGUAAAGGAAGAUAAUUGUUUGUGGCAAAUUAACAGUUGACCUGUUGUAGCAGGUUCUAAUAAAAUAUACAGUGAAAUGAGC